UCGGAAAAGAGACAAUAAGGGUGGAUGAAAAUGGGGUUGUUUGGUUUGGGUUUGCAAACAAGAGUGUUGGUUUGAGGUCGGUUGUCACUGAGAGGAUGAAAUGGGAAGAGGAGAGGUUCGGGUGGAAGAGCAGAGCCGUGGUUGAAAGAACAGACAUAUUUGAUGGAGGCGGUUCGAGUUGGAAGAGCUAUAAAUGUUAUGUGUUGGUGGAGAGCUUUGUCUUGAGGAGGAUGGAUGAAAGUGUGGUCUUGACAUUUGAGUUUAAGCAUGCUGAUAAGUUGAAGAGCAAGUGGGAAUCAUGAACAGCUUCUUUUAUUUCAUAUUUUGUGUUGGUACAUGUUUAUUUCCAGAUUUAUAUGAAUCAAAUAAUAAACAGAUAGUAACAAUGUCACCAUCAAGAAUCCAGUACAAGCUUCAACAAACAAUAUCAUAUAUAAAGAAGGAAAAACAAGGAAUGAUAUUACAUUUUGCAUCUAUUCAAAGAAGAUGAAACUGAAACUUCUCUCCAAUGUAGUAAAAACGAAAAUACAAAAAUAAAACUUCUCUCCAAUGUAGUAAACAAGGAUUGAUGUUACAUUAUGAUGCGAGAGAAAUGCUCAGAGUCCUAUGCCCCACGGUUUUAUUGUAUCAUAUGCCUGGUUUGUUGUUGUCUUCCUUUUUCCUUAUUUGAAAGCUAGUCUUUGGUUUUUAUAUAGUUACGUCUCUAGACAAACAAAAACCUUAUAAAUUUAAAUAAAAUUAAAUAUAAAUCAUUAGUUUUGUUUUUUUUAAAUUAACACGAUAAAUAGAUUUCAUUUACACAUAGACUGUUGGAGGCGGAGCCCGAGACUUCUCCUUUUUCUCUCUUCGUUUCUUAACGGAGAUGAGAUGAGACGAAGCUUUCUCUGGUGCUCUACCAGGGUGUUUUGAUUCCGGGAGGCGGAGGCUAUUUCAGCUUCGUCGUCGUCGGCUUUUGAUCUCGGAGAAGUAGAGGCUUCCGAAGCUCUGCGCCGCCGACAAUAGAAAUUUAUUUUCCUUUGUGAUGCGAUCGAUGGGUCUAUAGCUUUGAUUCUCUGGGAGUCGGAGGAGAUCUCGACUGGGUCGAUGACGAUCUCUGUUGGUGGAGCUUAGGCAUCGUUGUGUAUGCUUGAAGCUAGUGGGUUUCUUUGCUUGUGGUUCUGUUUCUCGAAAGCCCCGGUGGUUGAUGAUUAGGAUCCGUCGACGUCUUUCAGUUUGGAGAGAUUGGUCGCGGUGUUUCCUUUGAAUGGGUGCUUGGUGAAUGUUCUCUUGUCUUCACGUUUGAUGGCUUGAUAAUCGGAUGAGAUCUCGAUAGGCGAUGAAACUCUCCGAUGAUGUGCUAAAGCGAUGAAGGAGGAGAUGUUGUAGUCUCUGGUUUUUCUUCAUCCGUUCGGUGGUUCGAUGGGUUCGGUGUGCGGUGGUUACGGUGUAUUCCGGUGAAACACGUGUUCGUUUCGUUUUUCUCCGGUGAUGACUCGUAGUUUGAGUCAAGAUGUGGUGACCUAGUGACGCGUGUCCCUUGAUGGCGAGGGUCUCAACACGUGUACGUCCAAGUGAAUUUCCCGAUGCGUGGUAACGUAUGGCGCCGAUCGGGUUUUCUUUUUUGAGCUUAAUUGCCCUUGUGUUUUGGGCUUUCUGUUUAAUACGUUUGGGCUUUAUGCUGGGCUUAGUACAGAGAAGCUUCGGCUAAUGCGAAAGAGGAAGACAGAGUCCCUUGCUGCUUUUGUUUCACCCGUAUUCCUGAAGCUAAACCACAAGGAGCAGAUCCUUAUGACAUAUACCAACAAUUCGAGAUCCAUCAACGAAAAUCUUUGUCUCGAUAUUACUUUGCAACAUCCGUUGCUCCCGACGGUGUACCACCAGAGUUUCUUAAGAGAAAAGGUUGGACCGUUGAGUACUCGACAUCCGAAGACUAUGGUCUUAGAGAUGAUGCAAAAGGGAUUAACGCUAAGCUUCGUUCCGAGCUUCCUAGUGAUCUGAACAGAAGCGUUGCGGUGGGGAACUGGUACGUACCUUUCAUAUUCGUGAAGGAUGGAGACGCAAAGGAUCAGCUUAAGAGCACGACUUAUUACAGCAUGACUCUUUACCAAAAAUGGGAGGAGGUUUACUCUUGUGAAAACGCUUACAAAGAAAACCGCGAGGUUUUGGUAAAUGUGGAAGUUGAGCCAGAAGUUGUGAAGCUUGAGGGACAAGUUAUCGGAAAAGAGACAAUAAGGGUGGAUGAAAAUGGGGUUGUUUGGUUUGGGUUUGCAAACAAGAGUGUUGGUUUGAGGUCGGUUGUCACUGAGAGGAUGAAAUGGGAAGAGGAGAGGUUCGGGUGGAAGAGCAGAGCCGUGGUUG
rnacentral:lncRNA from 1 species